ACGAAAUAUGAGUCUAAAAUGCCAAAUACUUGCAACUAUUAUGUUAAUCACUGAAAUCUUAGUGUACUAAUUGCUCGCUAUAAGCUAGGUUAUUGCGCCCCUAAACCAACGUACUGACAACGCUACCUCCCCGGAACUCAAACUUUAACCGGGCAUGACUUGGUACAUCCAGUGACCCAGCAAAAAGUAGCCUCGGUACAGCCAGAAGUAGCAACAACUCGCAAAAGGGGAUCCUUGUCUGACUGGUGGCUGGACCACAUGACACUUGUUGGAAAAGGAAGGACCAAAGGUGCCAUCGUCGAGCCGAGGGCCCAGAUAGAUGAAGAGAUUGAAGCCUGGGCUGCACACAAUCCUAAAAUCUAGGAAGAAGUCGCCACCCACUGAUGAUCUCAUCCAAGUUUACCAAAGACUCCAAAGCAGUGCAGGAGAGGAAUGGUGGCCUGUUCGAACAGGCAUGGACUGAAUCGCCAGCUCUCAUCUCCCUAGUCACUCCGAUGGCCACGUGUCGCUCCUCGAUCAACAGCGAUUUCAAUAAAUGAUGCGUUGAUGUGGGCAAAAAGUGAAUCCUUUCUCGCCUUUGAACUCUGGUGUUCGUCAUAUCAAUCCAUUUUGAUUGUCGAGCAACUUGUGGGCACACCUCAACUUGUUAGUGGGAAGUAAUUUGCAAUAGAGUGACUUACUUUUAUUGCUGUAUUUUUUCACUUCACAUCAUUGUUAUUUUGAAAAAGCCUGCCAAAAUUCUGUUGACUGUUUGUUGUCGACAAGAGUCUAUGUUUCAUGAAUAACAAGGCUGUGUUCUGUACAUUGUA